rnacentral:rRNA from 1 species
AGCAGCCGCGGUAAUUCCAGCUCCAAUAGCGUGUAUUAAAGUUGUUGCAGUUAAAAAGCUCGUAGUUGAAUUUCGGGGUUAGUAGGCCGGUCGUGCCACAGGUAUGUACUGGUCUCACUGAUUCCUCCUUCCUGAUGAACCGUAAUGCCAUUAAUUUGGUGUUGCGGGGAAACUGGACUGUUACUUUGAAAAAUUAGAGUGUUUAAAGCAGGCUAACGCUUGAAUACAUUAGCAUGGAAUAAUGAAAUAGGACGUUCGAUCCUAUUUUGUUGGUUUCUAGGAUUGACGUAAUGAUUAAUAGGGAUAGUUGGGGGCAUUAGUAUUCAAUUGUCAGAGGUGAAAUUCUUGGAUUUAUU